AGAGUUCGAUCCUGGCUCAGGACGAACGCUGGCGGCACGCCUAACACAUGCAAGUCGAACGGAACUGUUAAGGAAGAUUUCUUCGGAAUGAUUUCUUUUCAGUUUAGUGGCGGACGGGUGAGUAACGCGUGAGGAACCUGCCUUCCAGAGGGGGAUAACGUUUGGAAACGAACGCUAAUACCGCAUACCUUAUAAAGAUCGCAUGAUCUUUAUAAGAAAGGAGCAAUCCGCUGGAAGAUGGCCUCGCGUCCAAUUAGCUAGUUGGUGAGGUAACGGCCCACCAAGGCGACGAUUGGUAGCCGGACUGAGAGGUUGAACGGCCACAUUGGGACUGAGACACGGCCCAG
rnacentral:rRNA from 1 species